CUACGCCACGGUGAAUACGUUCCCGGGCCUUGUACACACCGCCCGUCACGCCAUGGAAGUGGUGAGCGCCCGAAGUCCGUGUCGGAACCGCAAGGACCAAGCGGCCGAAGGCGAGCAUCAUGACUGGGGCGAAGUCGUAACAAGGUAGCCGUAGGGGAACCUGCGGCUGGAUCACCUCCUUAACGGA
rnacentral:rRNA from 1 species